UACGGAGGCAGCAGUGGGGGAUAUUGCACAAUGGGGGAAACCCUGAUGCAGCGACGCCGCGUGGGUGAAGAAGUAUUUCGGUAUGUAAAGCCCUAUCAGCAGGGACGAUAAUGACGGUACCUGAGUAAGAAGCCCCGGCUAACUACGUGCCAGCAGCCGCGGUAAU
rnacentral:rRNA from 1 species